rnacentral:rRNA from 1 species
UACGUAGGGUGCGAGCGUUAAUCGGAAUUACUGGGCGUAAAGCGUGCGCAGGCGGUUUGCUAAGACCGAUGUGAAAUCCCCGGGCUUAACCUGGGAACUGCAUUGGUGACUGGCAGGCUAGAGUAUGGCAGAGGGGGGUAGAAUUCCACGUGUAGCAGUGAAAUGCGUAGAGAUGUGGAGGAAUACCCGAUGGCGAAGGCAGCCCCCUGGGCCAAUACUGACGCUCAUGCACGAAAGGCGUGGGGAGCAAACAGG